GACGAACGCUGGCGGCGUGCUUAACACAUGCAAGUCGAACGGAAAGGCCCUGCUUUUGUGGGGUGCUCGAGUGGCGAACGGGUGAGUAACACGUGAGUAACCUGCCCUUGACUUUGGGAUAACUUCAGGAAACUGGGGCUAAUACCGGAUAGGAGCUCCUGCUGCAUGGUGGGGGUUGGAAAGUUUCGGCGGUUGGGGAUGGACUCGCGGCUUAUCAGCUUGUUGGUGGGGUAGUGGCUUACCAAGGCUUUGACGGGUAGCCGGCCUGAGAGGGUGACCGGCCACAUUGGGACUGAGAUACGGCCCAGACUCCUACGGGAGGCAGCAGUGGGGAAUAUUGCACAAGGGGCGGAAGGCUGAUGCAGCAACGCCGCGUGCGGGAUGACGGCCUUCGGGUUGUAAACCGCUUUCGCCUGUGACGAAGCGUGAGUGACGGUAAUGGGUAAAGAAGCACCGGCGAACUACGU
rnacentral:rRNA from 1 species